rnacentral:rRNA from 1 species
ACUGAACGCUGGCGGCAUGCCUUACACAUGCAAGUCGAACGGCAGCAUGGAGAGCUUGCUCUCUGAUGGCGAGUGGCGAACGGGUGAGUAAAGCAUCGGAACGUACCGUGUAGUGGGGGAUAACGUAGCGAAAGUUACGCUAAUACCGCAUACGCACUGAGGUGGAAAGCAGGGGAUCGUAAGACCUUGCGCUAUACGAGCGGCCGAUGUCAGAUUAGCUAGUUGGUAGGGUAAAGGCCUACCAAGGCGACGAUCUGUAGCGGGUCUGAGAGGAUGAUCCGCCACACUGGGACUGAGACACGGCCCAGACUCCUACGGGAGGCAGCAGUGGGGAAUUUUGGACAAUGGGGGCAACCCUGAUCCAGCCAUGCCGCGUGAGUGAAGAAGGCCUUCGGGUUGUAAAGCUCUUUCGGCCGGGAAGAAAUCGCACAGGCUAAUACCCUGUGUGGAUGACGGUACCGGCAUAAGAAGCACCGGCUAACUACGUGCCAGCAGCCGCGGUAA